UACGAAGGGGGCUAGCGUUACUCGGAUUGACUGGGCGUAAAGGGCGCGUAGGCGGUUCGUACAGUCAGACGUGAAAUUCCUGGGCUCAACCUGGGGGCUGCGUUUGAUACGUGCGGGCUUGAGUUCGGAAGAGGGUCGUGGAAUUCCCAGUGUAGAGGUGAAAUUCGUAGAUAUUGGGAAGAACACCGGUGGCGAAGGCGGCGACCUGGUCCGAUACUGACGCUGAGGCACGAAGGCCAGGGGAGCAAACAGG
rnacentral:rRNA from 1 species